UGGGGAAUAUUGCACAAUGGAGGGAACUCUGAUGCAGCGACGCCGCGUGAACGAAGAAGGCUUUCGAGUCGUAAAGUUCUUUUAUAUGGGAAGAUAAUGACGGUACCAUAAGAAAAAGCCCCGGCUAACUACGUGCCAGCAGCCGCGGUAAUACGUAGGGGGCUAGCGUUUUCCGGAAUCACUGGGCGUAAAGGGUUCGCAGGCGGAAAUGCAAGUCAGGUGUAAAAGGCAGUAGCUUAACUACUGUAAGCAUUUGAAACUGCAUAUCUUGAGAAGAGUAGAGGUAAGUGGAAUUUUUAGUGUAGCGGUGAAAUGCGUAGAUAUUAAAAAGAAUACCGGUGGCGAAGGCGACUUACUGGGCUCAUUCUGACGCUGAGGAACGAAAGCGUGGGUAGCAAACAGG
rnacentral:rRNA from 2 species